rnacentral:rRNA from 1 species
GGGACUCCAGGUGCGAGGGCAUAUAGUCCUCGCUUUUCUCAACCGUAGGGAGGUUGAGGAACAAGUGCUGGGCAAGACCGGUGCCAGCCGCCGCGGUAAUACCGGCAGCACAAGUGAUGACCGCUGUUAUUGGGCCUAAAGCGUCCGUAGCUGGCCAGACAAGUUCAUCGGGAAAUCUGCGCGCCUAACGCGCAGGCGUCCGGUGGAAACUGCCUGGCUUGGGACCGGAAGACCAGAGGGGUACGUCUGGGGUAGGAGUGAAAUCCCGUAAUCCUGGACGGACCACCGGUGGCGAAAGCGCCUCUGGAAGACGGAUCCGACGGUGAGGGACGAAAGCUCGGGUCACGAACCGGAUUAGAUACCCGGGUAGUCCGAGCUGUAAACGAUGUCUGCUAGGUGUGACACAGGCUACGAGCCUGUGUUGUGCCGUAGGGAAGCCGUGAAGCAGACCGCCUGGGAAGUACGUCCGCAAGGAUGAAACUUAAAGGAAUUGCGGGGGGGAAACCAAAA